rnacentral:lncRNA from 1 species
UGUACCAAGUCAUUUUUUUUAAGGCUGAUUUAGAGCUACUCAGUUGCGUCCUAACAGUAUAACUUUGCAACGAAUACUUUUUCGCAUUUAAUCAAAUAAAGAGUAAAAUCUAAUUAUAUUGUUCUAUUAUGCCCAAGAAUGUAAAUUUCGAACAAAUCGAUAUUGAUACCAUAUUUAGCUUCAUUAAAAAAAAAAAAAAAACUAAUCUAACUUUUUUUAAAAAAAAAUUUUCUAAUUUAGCCUUAAUUUUGAUGGAUUAUUAAACAAAAGUUGAUUUAAAUAGUAUUUAUAUGCUAAUUAGGAGAGAUUUUUUUUUCUCUCUCCUCCCAACCGACUAAUAUUUAAAAAUAAUUAAUUUUUAAUAUAAUAAUAUUAAUUAAAAAUUAAUAUUUAAUAAUAAUAAAUAUUAUUAUUAUUGAUUUUUUUUUUUAGAGAGAAAGAUAGCAACAUGCUAUCCUUUUCGUUUAUUUUUUUCAAAAAUAAAUUUAGCUGAAAAUAUGAAUCAACGGAAAUGUGAAUCAACUAUGAUUUAAACUUAGGACCUCAAGUAUCAAUCACCAAGUCCUUUGCCACUUGCACUAGAAACAGUCAAUUAUUAAAUAAUUAUUAUUAUAAUUAUUAUUACUAUUACUAGUAUUUAAUUUGACUAUACAAACUAAUAUGACCAAAUUGGGUAUGUAUAGUCAAUUAAAUAGUAGUAAUAAUUAUAACAAUAAAAAAAUAAUCAUUCAAUAAUAAUAAUAUAAUUAUUAUUAAAUAUUAAUUCUUAAUUAUUGUUAUUAUUAUAAAAAUUAAUUAUUUUUAAAUAUUAGUAGGUUGAUAAGAAAGAGAGGAAAAAAAUUUUCUCUCUCCUAAUUAACAUAUAAAUACUUUAAGUCAUUUUUAUUUUCUAAACCAUCAGAACUCUUUUGAGAAGAAGAAAAGAUUAGGAAUUUUUUUUCCAAUAACACUAGAUAUGGCAUUAGUUCGUUACUUUAGCGGUCAUCAUUUAUUUCAUUUUCUAAAUUCUUAUUUUUUUAGAGAAAAAAAUAGCACGCUACACGUUUUAUUUAUCAGGAACAUGAACUAAGCUAUAUUGAUAAAGCAACUAGAUCCAGAUUGAAAAAGAAAAAUACUGGCAAAAAUAGGAAUCAGCCAGCUUACUAACUAGAGCGUCUAAUGUCUAGUAAAUCGUUCCACUGUCUACUCCAGCUUUGCACCAUCAUAACUGCUAUUAAUGGAUCAAUAUUAUUGUUUCUGAAAAUAAAAUUACUUCCUAAAUUCUAUGGUUAGAAAUAAGUAUCUAUAACUAUAUAUUAUUCCUCAAUAACUG